AUGUUGCUUCCAGCGAGUGCAGGCAUAGAUUUCUCCAUCAUCAUUCUUCCCAUCGGCAUGGUGGACGCUUGCUUUUCCAUCAUCAUUUUUUCGAGAGACAUGCCCUCCAUGUUUUUGUUGCUAUCCAUCAUCAUUGACAUAUCCUUCUCCAUCGACAUAUCCUGCAUAGACUUGCCCAUCAUCAUUGGCAUGUCCUUCUCCAUGGGCAUCUGUGACAUAGAUUUGUCCAUCAGCAUACUAAGCAUAUCCUGCUGCAUUGGCAUCUGUGGCAUAGACUUGCCCAUCAUGGGCAUUUCGGACAUAGAUUUCUCCAUCAUCAUUGGCAUACCCUUCUCCAUAGACAUCUGUGGCAUAGACUUGCCCAUCAUCAUUGACAUGUCCUUCUCCAUGGGCAUUUCGGACAUAGAUUUGUCCAUCAUCGUUGGCAUGCCCUUCUCCAUUGACAUCUGUGGCAUGGACUUACUCAUCAUCAUGGGCAUACCCUUCUCCAUGGACAUCAUUGGCAUCCCAGACAUAGAUUUGUCCAUCAUCAUAAUUUUUCCUGACAUCAAGGCCAUGGGCAUUGAUUUCAUGAUGGCGGGGGCAGGCAUUGCGAUUGAUGAUGACAUCAUUGUGGUAACUGAAGGAAGGUAGCUGUAAGUUGUCGUGUAAGGCAUCACCGGGCUGAGAGGUGUCAUCGAGGGUAACAACAUGGUUGGCAUGGCAGGCAUUGAGGUCAUUGCAGGCAUGGCGGGCAUCAUCAUCAUUGAGCGAGUUAUCACUGGUGUGGGGCUCAGGAGCAUAGGUGCAGCGAGUGGAAGAAUAUUUUUCUUCGUCCGGCUAGCUUCUUCAGCAGCCAUUAUGGACGAAGAGAAUAGUAAAACUAAAGGAACCUGUAACAGAAAACGCGCAUUUUUUUUCAGAGACUUCUUCUUCUUUCGACUUAAAAAUGAGAAAAAAAAUUAACUCAAAUAACUUGCAAUGACAUAUUUAUAAUAAUAAUAAAAUUUAAAAAAAUUAAAAUUUACGAACAUCUUCUACUAAAAGUCUCAGUAAUGCAUGCCAUGUAAUAUAGGUUGAACUCAAAUGCCCCACCAAUGCUCUUAACUUUUAAACAAAUAAAGGAAGACAGAGGAAAAUUUUUCAGUGUUCCUUUCUGAUGGGGAAACUAGAUAGGAAAGAUAGAAAAAAACUACUUUAUGAGAUUAUGGGGCGUCAAAAAUUAAAUUGAAUUGGGGUACUUUUGAAGAAAAACACAAUUUUCAAAAAACCUCGGUAAGAUGGUACAUUGUUGGACAGGGGGUAACCAAGAAACUAAUUAGCAAAAACUAGAGAUUUCUAUCUGAUCACCAAUUCAAAAUGGCGCCUCGCUGAAAAUGGAAAUCAAAGAACUUUGACUGGCCGGAAUUCUGAAGUGGUGAUGGCUAGAGACUUAAAUUUUUCGUUAAAAAUGUUAUUGUUUUAUACAUCCGUUAAUGGUGUAACACAAAGAAGGGACUACUAUUUGAAGAAAAGUUGGAGGCUACCGGGUCCCCUUGAGAGGGCUCAAAAUGAUUAAAUCCCACAAAAUUCAGUAUUUUUAAGAUAAGGGUAUUGCCGAAGUUUUAAUCCUCCAUCUUAAACCGUAUCAAAUCUAAAGGGGAAGGGAUGGGGAGCACUAAUUGUAGACCUUUACGAUGGUGUAGCCAGAAUUUUUUCAUACCACAAAACUAACGCAGAAUAUAAUAUUAUUCCAGAAUCUUGAUCUCAAUUCUUUAAUUAAUUUUAGUUCCAUGUCUUUUUUUUCUUUUCUAAAAGAUAGUUUUUCUCACGUUGGACCUCUCGCUAUAUUUUAUAAUGAAAUUCAUCUUAAACAAAUUAGAAUGGAGAGGUUUUAGGAAUUUUAUAACAACCCCACAACAGGGAGCAGAAAUGGACUACGGUUAACAAAAUUGAACAAAUUUUGAAAAUUAAGACGAAACUUUCACAAGAAAAAGGUACUUGGACACUUGGACAGCCUAUUCAGAAGGCCCAAAAAUAAAUAAAAAAAUGUUUUUGAAUAUUGUAAUGAAAAAGAUAACUUACCAAAAGUUUCAUUUUUGUGAGAUAACAAACUAAAUAAGAGAAGAAAAAUAAUCAGUACUAGAGGUGAUAGCUUAAACUCCUACGAACACAACUUAUUAACACUAAAAGAAUGAUUAGACUAAUUCGAUCGAAUUUGACCUUAUCCGUAUUUAUAUAGGUGGUAGAACUGUUUAAUCGAUUGCAUCAGAUUAAAUUCAAAAGGAGGGAAGGAUUAGGAAAAUGUGAUAGUCAACCAAAUAAUUCAAAGGGUGUGUUCAUAGUCGCGUUAAAAAACAUUAACAACAAGUGAGGGGUAAAGUAAAAACGGAGAGGGAAAAGUAAUUUUUUUUAGUUAAAUUAAACGAGAAUCCGCAUAAAGGAGCGUCAAUAAAUUUUUUUAACGGUGAUUUUCCUUUGUCCUCUUUCUCUUUACACCGCACAAGCAAACGAGCAGUGAAGGGGUUUAUUUUAGUUAAAUUUAUGAGCAAAAAGGGAAAUCAAGAGGAUCGAGAGAAGGGAAAAGAGAAAGAGGUAUCAUUGAUGAGGGGCGAUGCGUUGACAAAGUAUUUUUCGUAGAGGGAAAAGAAAAGCCGAAAAUUCUCGACGUGCGGAAAGCGAUGGAACAAAUAAGUAGAGGACGCUAUUAUGCAAAAGACGUCCUCUAUGUUUCCUCUUAGGCUUUAAAUAGCCAAGUAAUAAUUGGUCAUUGCGGCUCAGGUGGAUGCAAAUGCAGAUAAACCGUUUUUGCGUCCGACGCUGAACUGGCUGAUGAAACAAGAGUCAAACAUGUCGCGAGAAAAACAUCCAGAACUUUUUUGCGAACCGGUGAUGGAUUUUUAGCCGGAGCACAGUUGCACCGACAUAGUCUUAAUACACGUGUAUUGUGCGUGAUGUUACACAAGAAGUUUUUGUUUUCCAGCCCAGUCCAGGGUCUACAUUUUAGAAUGCAUGUGAAUUACUUACUUUCAUUUGAAUGGUUGAAUUAGGAGCGGUGAGGGAUUUUGAGAAAAAACGAAUUCCGGUUCUGCAUUCAGUGGAUUAGAGAAUGGGUCUAUUGCACACGAGAGAUACAGUUAUCUCUGUACAUAUUAAUGCAGGUAAGAUCGCACGAAAAUUACGUUACGAAAAUUGGAAAUUUCUAAAAUCCUUUGACGCAUAACUUGCGCAGUCCGCAUUGUAUUUUUUCAAAAUCUCUUCCGUGGGCAGUUUUUCUUGGUUUCUGGUCUGAGGCUAUCAGUUUUACCUAGAGACAAGACCUAACCGGAAAAAAAUCUAAUCUAAAUAAGAGAACACUUUUACGAAAUGUUUCUCGUGUAUGAUUUCAAUCGUUUCAAACGUUUGCUUGUUCCUUACCCCUUUGUUUCGUAAA
rnacentral:lncRNA from 1 species